AGGUCAUAAUGAGGACACUUCCUUAACAAAUCAAUCAAUCUUUCCCAAGCCUCAUAGAAUGGCUCUCCAUAAUUUUGAGAGAAUCCCAUAAUGGCCAUCCGCAUUU